rnacentral:rRNA from 1 species
AUUGAACGCUGGCGGCAUGCCUUACACAUGCAAGUCGAACGGCAGCACGGGAGCUUGCUCCUGGUGGCGAGUGGCGAACGGGUGAGUAAUACAUCGGAACGUACCCUGAAGUGGGGGAUAACGUAGCGAAAGUUACGCUAAUACCGCAUAUUCUGUGAGCAGGAAAGAGGGGGAUCGCAAGACCUCUUGCUUUAGGAGCGGCCGAUGUCGGAUUAGCUAGUUGGUGAGGUAAAGGCUCACCAAGGCGACGAUCCGUAGCGGGUCUGAGAGGAUGAUCCGCCACACUGGGACUGAGACACGGCCCAGACUCCUACGGGAGGCAGCAGUGGGGAAUUGUUCGCAAUGGGCGCAAGCCUGACGACGCAACGCCGCGUGGAGGAUGAAGAUCUUCGGGGUCGUAAACUCCUUUCGAUCGAGACGAA